UCAGGAUGAACGCUGGCGGCGUGCUUAACACAUGCAAGUCGAACGGACUUACCCUGGAUGAGGCCCUCGGGCGGAUUCCUAAGUAAGUUAGUGGCGGACGGGUGAGUAACGCGUGGGUAACCUGCCUCACAUUGGGGGAUAACGAUUGGAAACGAUCGCUAAUACCGCAUAAGACCACGGCACCGCAUGGUGCUGAGGUAAAAACUCCGGUGAUGUGAGAUGGACCCGCGUCUGAUUAGCCAGUUGGCGGGGUAACGGCCCACCAAAGCUACGAUCAGUAGCCGACCUGAGAGGGUGAUCGGCCACAUUGGGACUGAGACACGGCCCAAACUCCUACGGGAGGCAGCAGUGGGGAAUAUUGCACAAUGGGGGAAACCCUGAUGCAAGCGACGCCGCGUGAGUGAAGAAGUAUUUCGGUAUGUAAAGCUCUUUAAGCAGGGAAGAUAACGACGGUACCUGCAGAAUAAGCACCGGCUAAAUACGUGCCAGCCGCUGC
rnacentral:rRNA from 1 species